AUGAAGACCAUUCUCAACAAUUAGAUGGUCGACAUUACUCUGAAGGGACAUGCAGUUAUUGUGAAGGGCCCGAGAGGAACCCUGAGAAGGGACUUCAGUCACAUUAAUGUAGAACUCAGUCUUCUUAGAAAGAAAAACAUGAGGCUCCAGGUUGACAAAUGGUGGGGUAACUGAAAGGAACUGGCUACUAUUCGGACUAUUUGUCGUCAAGUACAGAACAUGAUCAAGGGUGUUACACUGGCUUCUGUUAUGAGGUCUGUGCAUGGUCACUUCCCCAUUGACGCUGUUAUCCAGGAGAAUGGGUCACUUGUUGAAAUCCGAAAUUUCUUGGGUGAAAUAUACAUUCGUAGGGUUCAAAUGAGACCAGGUGUUGCUUGUUCAGUAUCUCAAGCCCAGAAAGAUGAAUUAAUCCUUGAAGGAAAUGACAUUGAGCUUGUUUCAAAUUCAGCGGCUUUAAUUCAGCAAGCUACAACAGUUAAAAACAAGGAUAUCUGGAAAUUUGGGGAUGGUAUUUAUGUCCUUGAAAAAGGAACUGUUCAGCAGGCUGAUGAGUAAGAUGUAAGAGUUGUCCAGCUACAGAAACAAGAUGCCAGAUGAUUCCUAAGACCUACUUGUGACAUUUUAAAUAAUGCAAUAAAAGACCUAUUGAUUU